AACGUAGGAGACGAACGUUAUCCGGAGUUACUGGGCGUAAAGGGCGUGUAGGCGGUUUGUUAAGUCUGGCGUGAAAGCUCUCGGCUAAACCGGGAGAGGUCGUUGGAUACUGGCGAACUAGAGGAUGGUAGAGGCGUGUGGAAUUCCGAGUGUAGUGGUGAAAUGCGUAGAGAUCCGGAGGAACACCAGUGGCGAAGGCGACACGCUGGGCCAUACCUGACGCUAAAGCGCGACAGCAUGGGGAGCAAACGGG
rnacentral:rRNA from 1 species